ACGGCAACUCCCUUUGGGUCUCCUCUCAUUGUAUGGGAGCUCUGUUUUCACUCUAUUAAAUCUUGCAACUGCACACUCUUCUGGUCUGUGUUUGUUAUGGCUUGAGCUGAGCUUUUGCUGGCUGUCCACCACUGCUGUUUGCUGCCGUCGCAGACCCCUUGCUGACUCCCACCCCUGCGGAUCUGGCAGGGUGUCUGCUGCGCUCCUGAUCCAGCCAGGCACCCACUGCUGCUCCCAAUCAGGCUAAAGGCUUGCCAUUGUUCCUGCAUGGCUAAGUGCCCGGGUUCGUGCUAAUUGAGCUGAACACUAGUCGCUGGGUUCCACAGUUCUCUUCCGUGACCCACAGCUUCUAAUAGAGCUAUAACACUCACUGCAUGGCCCAACAUUCCAUUCCUUGGAAUCUGUGAGGCCAAGAACCCCCGGUCAGAGAACAAGAAGCUUGCCACCAUCUUGGAAGCAGCCCGCCACCAUUUUGGGAGCUCUAAGAACAAGGACCCCCCAGUAACAUUUUGGUGACCACGAAGGGACCUCCAAAGCAACUCAAAGCUGUAAAACUGCAAAUGGUUCCUCAUAUGGAGCCCCAGAUGCAGUCCAUGACUAAGAUCUACCACAGAGCCCUAGACCGGCCUGUUAGCCCAUGCUCCGAUGUUGAUGACAUCAAAGGCACACCUUCCGAGGAAAUCUCAACUGCACGACCCCUACUAAGCCCCAAUUCAGCAGGAAGCAGUUAAGAGCAGUCGUUGGCUAACAUCCCCAAUAGUAUGUGGGUUUUCCUGUUGAGAGGGGGGACUGAGAGACAGGACUAGCUGGAUUUCCUAGGCCAACUAAGAAUCCCUAAGCCUAGUUGGGAAGGUGACCGCAUCCACCUUUAAACACGGGGCUUGCAACUUAGCUCACACCCGACCAAUCAGGUAGUAAAGAGAGCUCACUAAAAUGCUAAUUAGGCAAAAACAAGAGGUAAAGAAAUAGCCAAUCAUCUAUCGCCUGAGAGCACAGUGGGGAGGGACAAUGAUCGGGAUAUAAACCCAGGCAUUCGGGCCGGCAACGGCAACCCCCAUUGCGUCCCCUCCCAUUGUAUGGGAGCUCUGUUUUCAUUCUAUUAAAUCUUGCAACUGCACACUC
ensembl:lncRNA novel transcript